ACACUGCUGUACCUAACCUUCCAUUGAGGCUGCAACGGAAGAACGCUUGACCAGACAACAUGAACGGUGUCGUUGGAAUUAACGCCCUUGUGUGGGUUGCCGUCACAUUAGCUGUGCUCAUCAAUGAAGCUGCCGCUCUUGGUGGCGGUGUCGGAGGCAGCGGAGGAAUCGUCCGUAAGAAGUGAAUAACU